rnacentral:rRNA from 1 species
UACAGAGGGGGCAAGGCGUUGUUCGGAAUUAUUGGGCGUAAAGCGCACGUAGGCGGUUCGUUAAGUCGGAUGUGAAAGCCCUCGGCUCAACUGAGGAAGUGCACCCGAAACUGGCGAGCUUGAGUACGAAAGAGGAUCGCGGAAUUCCCGGUGUAGAGGUGAAAUUCGUAGAUAUCGGGAGGAACACCGGUGGCGAAGGCGGCGAUCUGGACCGAUACUGACGCUGAGGAGCGAAAGCGUGGGGAGCGAACAGG